ACUACGAGGUCAAGAUGCGCUCGGUGAUGAAAUUCCUGGAGGAAGGCGACAAGGUCAAGGUCACGCUGCGCUUUCGCGGCCGCGAGAUGGCGCACCAGCAGCUCGGCAUGGAGCUUUUGAACCGCGUCGUCGGCGAUGUCGGCGAUGCCGGCAAGGUCGAAUCGAUGCCGCGGCUUGAAGGCCGCCAGAUGGUGAUGAUGAUCGCGCCGAAAUAAGCGCCGCGAUCUGCGCCACGACUCGAGGCCCUCCCCGCGGAGGGCCUUUUGCUGUCCCCCCCAUGCUGUCACUGCCCAUGCUGUCACCGGCUCGUGACAGG
rnacentral:misc_RNA from 1 species